rnacentral:tRNA from 1 species
UCACUGGUGGUCCAGUGGCUAAGACUCUGCACUCCCAAUGCACAGGGCUUGGGUUCAAUCCCAGGUCAGGGAA